rnacentral:rRNA from 1 species
GACGAACGCUGGCGGCGUGCUUAACACAUGCAAGUCGAACGGAAAGGCCCUGCUUUUGUGGGGUGCUCGAGUGGCGAACGGGUGAGUAACACGUGAGUAACCUGCCCUUGACUUUGGGAUAACUUCAGGAAACUGGGGCUAAUACCGGAUAGGAGCUCCUGCUGCAUGGUGGGGGUUGGAAAGUUUCGGCGGUUGGGGAUGGACUCGCGGCUUAUCAGCUGGUGGGGGGGGUAGUGGCUUACCAAGGCUUUGACGGGUAGCCGGCCUGAGAGGGUGACCGGCCACAUUGGGACUGAGAUACGGCCCAGACUCCUACGGGAGGCAGCAGUGGGGAAUAUUGCACAAUGGGCGGAAGCCUGAUGCAGCAACGCCGCGUGCGGGAUGACGGCCUUCGGGUUGUAAACCGCUUUCGCCUGUGACGAAGCGUGAGUGACGGUAAUGGGUAAAGAAGCACCGGCUAACUACGUG